rnacentral:rRNA from 1 species
CGGCCUGUGUAUGGCUUUCGAGCGCAGCAGAUUCGCGCCUUCGACCCAGCACAUUGGCAUUCCAGCAAGCUCUUUCACCCAAUUUUGACCUCGGAUCAGGUAGGGAUACCCGCUGAACUUAAGCAUAUCAAUAAGCGGAGGAGCCCGUGCCCGCCGAAGACACCGUUGAACUUCUGGUUAAAGAUUGACGUCUGAGCGUAUAACUAUAAUCAGUUAAAACUUUCAACCACGGAUCUCUUGGUUCCGACAUCGAUGAAGAACGCAGCGAAAUGCGAUAAGUAAUGUGAAUUGCAGAAUUCCGUGAAUCAUCGAAUCUUUGAACGCACAUUGCGCCCUCUGGUAUUCCGGGGGGCAUGCCUGUCCGAGCGUCAUUGCAACCCUCAAGCGCGGCUUGUGUGUUGGGCCCUCGUCCCCCCGUGGACGUGCCCGAAAUGCAGUGGCGGCGUCGUGUUCCGGUGCCCGAGCGUAUGGGGCUUUGUCACCCGCUCUUGGAGGCCCGGCCGGCCCCGGCCCAUCGGCCAUCGAGGACUCGUUCCUCAACCAGGUUGACCUCGGAUCAGGUAGGGAUACCCGCUGAACUUAAGCAUAUCAAUAAGCGGAGGAACGC